rnacentral:rRNA from 1 species
UACGUAGGGUACAAGCAUUAAUCGGAAUUAUUGGGCGUAAAGGGUGCGUAGGCGGACCUACAAGUCAGAUGUGAAAUUUCGGGGCUCAACCUCGAAGCUGCAUUUGAAACUGUAAGUCUUGAGGGUUGACGGAGAAAACGGAAUUCCACGUGUAGCGGUGAAAUGCGUAGAUAUGUGGAAGAACACCUGUGGCGAAAGCGGUUUUCUAGUUAAUAACCUGACGCUGAGGCACGAGAGCAAGGGGAGCAAACAGG